rnacentral:rRNA from 1 species
UACGUAGGGUGCAAGCGUUAAUCGGAAUUACUGGGCGUAAAGCGUGCGCAGGCGGUUUUGUAAGUCUGUCGGGAAAGCCCCGGGCUUAACCUGGGAAUUGCGAUGGAGACUGCAAGGCUUGAAUCUGGCAGAGGGGGGUAGAAUUCCACGUGUAGCAGUGAAAUGCGUAGAGAUGUGGAGGAACACCGAUGGCGAAGGCAGCCCCCUGGGUCAAGAUUGACGCUCAUGCACGAAAGCGUGGGGAGCAAACAGG